AGCUUUGAAGCUGAAGCUCUGUAAAUGAAGCUUUUGAAGCUAAAACUCUGUAAAUGAAGCUUUUGAAGCUAAAGCUCUGUAAAUGACGCUUUUGAAGCUAGAGCUCUGUAAAUGAAGCUUUUCAAGCCAGAGCUUUUUAAAAGAAGCUUUUGAAGCUAGAGCUUUUGUAAAUGAAGCUUUUGAAGCUGAUUGACAUGAGUGAUGCUCAUGAAUGUUUAUGUAUGAUUGGAUGAGUGAUGCUCAUGAAUGUUUAUGUAUGAUUGACAUGAGUAAUGCUCAUAUAUGAUUUGAAGUAUUGGGCGUACUUUUGAUCACCUGGUUGGUGGCAUGAAGUAGAGUACGGGUUGUACAUUUCAUCACCUGGUUGGUGGCAUGAAUGGCUAGUUGCCAAAUGUUAUU
rnacentral:lncRNA from 1 species